rnacentral:rRNA from 1 species
GACGAACGCUGGCGGCGUGCUUAACACAUGCAAGUCGAACGAUGAAGCUGGAGCUUGCUCCGGUGGAUUAGUGGCGAACGGGUGAGUAACACGUGAGCAAUCUGCCCUUGACUCUGGGAUAACUGCGGGAAACUGUAGCUAAUACCGGAUACGAGGCUCGAAGGCAUCUUCGGGUCUGGAAAGAAUUUCGGUCAAGGAUGAGCUCGCGGCCUAUCAGCUAGUUGGUGAGGUAAUGGCUCACCAAGGCGACGACGGGUAGCCGGCCUGAGAGGGUGACCGGCCACACUGGGACUGAGACACGGCCCAGACUCCUACGGGAGGCAGCAGUGGGGAAUAUUGCACAAUGGGCGAAAGCCUGAUGCAGCAACGCCGCGUGAGGGAUGAAGGCCUUCGGGUUGUAAACCUCUUUUAGCAGGGAAGAAGCGAAAGUGACGGUACCUGCAGAAAAAGCACCGGCUAACUACGUGCCAGCCGCCGCGGUAAAAC